GCCAGGCUCCGUGGUGCGUGCCUGUAGUCCUAGCUACUCGGGAGGCUGAAGUGGGAGGAUUGUUUGAGCCUAGGAGUUCUGGGCUGUAGUGCGCUAUGCCUAUCGGCGUCUGCACUAAGCUCGGCAUCAAUACGGUGACCUCCCGGGAUCGGGGGACCACCAGGUUGCCUAAGGAGGGGUGAACUGGCCCAGGUCAGAAGCAGAGCAGGUCAAAACUCCCUUGAUGAUCAGCAGUGGGAUCCCGCCUGUGAAUAGCCACUGCACUCCAGCCUGGGCAACAUAGCGAGACCCUGUCA
rnacentral:SRP_RNA from 1 species